GCGGACUGCGGUAGGUCGUGCCCCGGCGCUUCGAUCGCAGUCGCAGUUUUCCCGCCACGCGACACGCACAUUUUCUUUGAAAUUUCGUGUCAAUUGCAAAGAAAAAAAGUGAACAUCGCGGGACUUUCGGUGCCUUACUUAGUGCUCUGUGUUACCGAUUCCAAUUUUUUAUACAACUUGUUAUUAGAUUUUUUUAAGCGUGAUCGCACUAGUGGAAUUAUAGACUUUAAUGAUUCGAGUAGUAAGGAUUGCGUUUCCUCCACAAGGACUAUUUUACGAUCAAACAAGGAGCAAGUCACAUCGCAACAGAACAUAUCAACGAUAGCAAUAAAUGAAUAAUUAUUUUAUAGAAUAAUUAUAAUUAUUAAGACUAAUGAAAUUCCGUUCACAUCAAUAUUAGAUAAAUUUAAACGAAUUAAAAAGUACAAAUAAAUGAGCUUAAUAAGUACAAGAGAUAGCAUAUCGAGAAGCAAUAUGGCGUUCGUUAGUUUAAGAAGCAGUUUGAGGAUAUUGUGGACUAUUGCGGCGGCUUUCGUUUUCCUCAGCAGAAGCAGCGCAGCACCAACCUUUGGGGACACCGACAAAGCUAUGAUGUAUUUAGCGCAGUAUGGUUACUUAAGCCCUUCAGUCCGGAACCCUUCCAGCGGCCACAUCAUGGACGAGAGCUCGUGGCGACGCGCCAUCGCUGAGUUCCAAAGUUUCGCCGGACUUAAUGCAACAGGUGAACUGGACGAUGAAACAGCUAAAGUAAUGUCGCUGCCGAGAUGCGGUGUUAAAGACAAAGUUGGAUUUGGCGAGAGUCGAGCGAAAAGAUACGCGUUGCAAGGCUCGAGAUGGCGUGUAAAGAACCUUACGUACAAGAUCUCAAAGUAUCCGACGCGAUUGAACCAGGCCGAAGUCGACGCCGAGCUGGCCAAAGCAUUCUCCGUAUGGUCUGACUACACCGACCUCACGUUCACACAGAAGCGUUCCGGCCAAGUACACAUCGAAAUAAGAUUCGAAAAGGGUGAGCAUGGAGAUGGUGACCCGUUCGACGGACCCGGUGGUACUUUGGCCCAUGCGUAUUUCCCCGUUUACGGAGGUGAUGCUCACUUCGACGAUGCUGAGGUCUGGUCAAUUAACUCGAGGCGGGGAACCAAUCUCUUCCAAGUGGCAGCGCACGAGUUCGGUCACUCUUUGGGGUUGUCUCACAGCGAUGUCCGCUCCGCUCUGAUGGCACCCUUCUACCGUGGAUACGACCCCGCCUUCCAACUCGACCAAGACGACAUCCAAGGAAUACAGGCACUGUACGGGCACAAGACGCAACUGGACAUCGGCGGCGGCUACCCCGCGCGACCGACUGCUCCCCGCGUCACCACACCACCCUCCUCCACCGAGGACGCCGCGCUCUGCGCCGACCCAUCCUUCGACACCAUAUUCAACUCAGCCGAUGGCGCCACAUUUGUUUUCAAGGGCGAGUACUACUGGAGAUUAACAGAAAGCGGUGUGGCGGCGGGCUACCCGCGCCUCAUCUCGCGCGCCUGGCCCGGCCUGCCCGCCAACAUUGACGCUGCCUUCACCUACAAGAACGGAAAAACGUACUUCUUCAAAGGCUCCAAGUACUGGAGGUAUAAUGGACAAAAUAUCGAUGGAGACUAUCCAAAGGAAAUUAGUGAAGGGUUCACUGGUAUACCAGAUAACAUCGACGCAGCGUUAGUAUGGUCGGGCAAUGGCAAGAUUUACUUCUACAAGGGCGCGAAGUUCUGGCGAUUCGACCCGGCGCAGCGCCCGCCCGUCAAGUCGACCUACCCCAAGCCCCUGUCCAACUGGGAAGGCAUCCCGGACAGUAUAGAUGCAGCCUUACAGUACACUAAUGGUUACACGUACUUCUUUAAGGGCGGUUCUUACUGGCGGUUCAACGACAGAACUUUCAGUGUGGACACAGAUAAGCCGGCGUUCCCGCGCUCAACCGGCUACUGGUGGCUGGGCUGCAGCAGUGCGCCGCGCGGCACAGUCGGAGGUAACGCGCGACUCUCUGAUGCCAACGAAGCCGCCGCAUACACUCAACUGCCAGACGAAGACGACGUCGGCGACAUACUCUUUGACGCAGGUGUAAAAUCAUCCGCUCCCAGAUCAUUCUUCUGGUUCAGGGAAUAGCCUCGUUGGAGUUCCUGAACGUUGUACAUAGAGAUUAUUAUAAAGAACAAAGACUCAAUUAAUUAAAUAGGAGAAAAUAUGAGUACCAGUGAGAUUAUAGAAAUAAGCGGUGAUUUUAGUACCGGCGAGCUUCUCACGCGCCACUUUUGGCCACAUACAGACAGACGGAGCUAAACUGUAGUUACUCGUUACCUCGGGCCACCGUUACCUAAGGAGGGCUUAGGUCCUCCGCCGCGGAGUCACUCACCCGCAUCAUGAAGGCGAACGUUCUGGUGGCAACGGCGGCAAUGGCAGCGUGUCAGUGCGACCGUCGCUCGCGUCGUUGGCGGCGCU